rnacentral:rRNA from 1 species
UACAGAGGUCUCAACCGUUGUUCGGAUUCAUUGGGCGUAAAGAGCUCGUAGGUGGUUCCGUCAGUCGGGUGUGAAAACUCUGGGCUCAACCCAGAGACGCCACCCGAUACUGCGGUGACUGGAGUCCGGUAGGGGAGCGUGGAAUUCCUGGUGUAGCGGUGAAAUGCGCAGAUAUCAGGAGGAACACCAACGGCGAAGGCAGCGCUCUGGGCCGGUACUGACACUGAGGAGCGAAAGCGUGGGUAGCGAACAGG